rnacentral:rRNA from 1 species
UACGACUACAUAUCAGGCAUAUCAAUAAGCGGAGGAAAAGAAACUAACUAGGAUUCCCUUAGUAACGGCGAGUAGAAGCGGGAAGAGCUCAAAUUUGAAAUCUUCAAGGUUCUACCUUGACGAAUUGUAGUUUAAAGAAGUGUUUUCUGUUGGAGUUUUGGUAAAAGUUCUUUGGAAUAGGACAUCAUAGAGGGUGAGAAUCCCGUAUUUGACCAUUUCUUCCAGCUGUGUGAUACACUUUCAAAGAGUCGGAUUGUUUGGGAAUGCAGUCCAAAAUGGGUGGUAAAUUUCAUCUAAAGCUAAAUAUUGGCGAGAGACCGAUAGCGAACAAGUACCGUGAGGGAAAGAUGAAAAGAACUUUGAAAAGAGAGUUAAACAGUACGUGAAAUUGUCAAAAGGGAAGCGUUUGACACCAGUGUUGUUUUCUCGAAAAUCAAUUAAAAAUGACCGGAUUUUGUGUUGUAUUGACUUUAUCAGCUUUUCUGCACUUUUUUCUUGUCUUUUUUAAUGCACUUUUCGUUUAACAAGUCAACAUCAAUUUCUUUUGUUGUAAAAGGGUCAUUGGAAGGUGGCUUUCACUUCGGUGAAAGUGUUUAUAGCCUUUGACUUCUGCAAUCGGAGAGAUUGAGGUCUGCAGCGUAGAUCCUUCGGGGUUAGAUACAUUUGUGCUAAGUUAUAGCUUUCCAUAGACAACUUGUUGACUAUGUUUAGUCUUGUAGCUUACUCGCUUAUGCUAUUUUACCUACGCUUAGGAUGUUGAUCUCUCACAGUCGAGC